GGACGCGCUUGCGCUUGCGCAUGCGCUGCUCAGGGUAUAGGUGGCGCCCUCCCCUCUGACGCCGAGGCACGUCUGAGAAAAGCCGUUAAUCUCCGUGAUUAUUCAGAUCAUGUAUGCCAAGGCUGUGUGGGUGGAGAAUUGAAGGGAGAUGGAAGGUACAGUUCCCGAUAAUUGGAUAGACGAAAAGAAGAAAACCAUUAGAUGGCCAAAGACUAAACCAAAAGAAGCUUUCAUGAUGAAAAAGAACCCCCCAGGAUGACUGGCUGAUGUUCCCAUUAAUCAAGAGAAAAAGUACUUCAGCUAAUAUUCGUGAAUAUGAAAACUACAACCUGACCAGCCAAGCCGAGGAGGAGGUGGUAGUGGUUGGAGGGAAGAGGAAAAUAACUAAAAGGACAUUUGACGAUUACGUUGGUGGUAUGUUUAUCAAUGAGUUGAGGAAUCUCGAAUAUGAAAAUGUAUUAACUGUACACAAACUGGGCCUCAAUUUUAGGCCAGUAAUUUUUUAUUUGCACUAUUAACAGAAUCUGAUGACUUGGAGGAAGAAAGCAUGAUGGGUAACUGUUCCCUAUAAUAACAUAAAAUUCUAGAUUUCUGAUAAAAAUACAAUGCUAAAAUAAAUAUAAGUUUGUUGUCCAUUAUAUUGGAGAUGGAUAUGCUUAUUUUUACACUCCGAAACACGCAGCGCAUCAGACUUUAAUUCAAUCCCAGCCUUUUGCGAUUUGAUAAUCGCACGAAGCCAUAUACCGAUUUUGAUUUUAUUUUGAUUAAACGUUCAUCCCUACUAUCCACUAUCCUUUAAUAAAAACACUCCAAAUCUGAUUACAUCAAAACAAUUGUGAACCAGCCUAGCUAUUAAAUACCUGAGUGGAAAUAGGUAAAUAGGUUUCUUUUUUUAUUUCAGAAAAAUGUCUUGACCAAAUUAAUUGACAUCCACAUGGAGGUCAGACACCUUGGCAGAAGUGAGCCUGCCCUUUCAGCCACCCGUAUUAAGAGAUUGGAGACCAUGGAAGACUUCCAGAGAGAGGAGCAACGCCUCAACGAUAGCCAAACUUUUGAUACCCUGGUGCUGCAUCUUGCUCAAGUUGGAGGAAAGGAUGUAAAGGACUGUGUCCACAAAGUCCUUGACCGUUAUGUUACAACAUAUCACACAAGGGUUAAUCCAUGCUCGGGUCUGUGGGACCCGUUUUCAAUGUUUAAUAAAAGAAAAAUUAUACAAUGAAUACAUUUUCUGUUUUCUGGGUACUGUGGAAAUAUACCUGUAAAAAGAAACAUGUCAGGUGUCAAUUUAUAAAUGACAUUUCUUUCUCUUCAGACUCUUCACUAAUUUUCUCAUGGCCCGUUUCAACAUGAAGGGAAAAGGGAUAAAAGAUAAAGUGGCUCUGGAGACCUCAAACCUUUACAGAGCAAUACAAGCUACAGUAGUGGUAUGGGGCAAAGAUGCAACCGAAGAGAGGAUCAAGCAACACGCUUCGGAGCACCUUAAGCAUGCACCAGCGAGAAAGAGAUGGGGGGGGACACACUCAAUGAACUUUAGAGAACUUUUUUUUUUCUUUAAAAUUGUGACAGUCUUAAGAGUUAUUUGUUAUUUUUGUUUAAAGUUAUUGGUUUAAUUGUUGUCCACUACAGUUUCACUUUUGUUUUCCUAAUUUUCAGAAAGAGUCUGUACAGUUGCUUUGCAACUACAAAUGAAAAUUUGAAUUAAAGUGAGUUUUAAUUG